rnacentral:rRNA from 1 species
AGGGUUUGAUUCUGGCUCAGAACGAACGCUGGCGGCAUGCCUAACACAUGCAAGUCGAACGAGAAGCUAUCUUCGGGUAGUGGAAAGUGGCGCACGGGUGAGUAACGCGUGGGAACCUGCCCUAAGGUUCGGAAUAACGACUGGAAACGGUCGCUAAUACCGGAUGUGCCCUGAGGGGGAAAGAUUUAUCGCCUUGGGAGGGGCCCGCGUCCGAUUAGCUUGUUGGUGUGGUAACGGCGCACCAAGGCUUCGAUCGGUAGCUGGUCUGAGAGGAUGAUCAGCCACACUGGGACUGAGACACGGCCCAGACUCCUACGGGAGGCAGCAGUGGGGAAUAUUGGACAAUGGGGGCAACCCUGAUCCAGCAAUGCCGCGUGUGUGAAGAAGGCCUUAGGGUUGUAAAGCACUUUCAGUCGUGACGAUGAUGACGGUAACGACAGAAGAAGCCCCGGCUAACUCCGUGCCAGCAGCCGCGGUAAUAC